rnacentral:rRNA from 1 species
GAUUAGGCAUGCAAGUCGUGCGGCAGCAGGCCCCGCAAGGGGUGCUGGCGAGCGGCGUAAGGGAGAGUAACACGCGGGUACCUACCCUCAGGACCGGGAUAGCUGCGGGAAACUGCAAUUAAUACCGGAUGAUGUCUCCGGACCAAAGGUGUAAUUCCUCCGGAGGAGGGGCCCACGUCCUAUCAGCUAGUUGGAGAGGUAACGGCUCACCAAGGCGACGACGGGUACGGGGUGUGAGAGCAUGCCCCCGCUCACUGGGACUGAGACACUGCCCAGACACCUACGGGUGGCUGCAGUCGAGAAUCUUCCGCAAUGGGCGAAAGCCUGACGGAGCGACGCCGCGUGCGGGAUGAAGGCCUUCGGGUUGUAAACCGCUGUCAGUGGGGAGCAAAUGCACGGGGGUUCUCCCUUGUGCUUGAGCGAUCCGCAGAGGAAGCGCAGGCUAAGUUCGUGCCAGCAGCCGCGGUAACACGAACUGCGCAAACGUUAUUCGGAAUCACUGGGCUUAAAGAGUUCGUAGGCGGCGCGUUAAGUCGGGUGUGAAAUCCCUCGGCUCAACCGAGGAAUUGCGCCCGAAACUGGCGUGCUUGAGUAAGAUAGAGGUGAGCGGAACUGAUGGUGGAGCGGUGAAAUGCGUUGAUAUCAUCAGGAACACC